ACAACAUUCGGACCGUCUGUCUACAAAAAAUCUCACCCGCUCGAUGUAAGAUCUUCCCUUUGUCGU
rnacentral:pre_miRNA from 1 species